CGCCAGAAAAGAAUGAUCUUGGAACUGAGUGGCGAGGACUAUACCACAUCCAAAAUUUUCGAGACGAUACCCAGACGUUACUGUACUACGAGUAAUAGCUGCGAUGUAAGCCAGCAAUGACCACAAGGAAAAAAUACAUAAGAUGUAAUCUGGAAUUUACUAGAUGCUAUUUUAAACUCCACUCUCGUUCCUCAUCAGUAUACCAAUAAAAUGAGAAUUAAUAGAGGAAAUUCAUUCAGAUUAAAAUAUUCCUCCACUCCUGAUUACGACGAUCCCAACAAUAGGAUGAAAAUUGCUAAUUAGAUCCAGAUUUGAAGGAAAAUACGAUUGCGACGCAAAAGGUGUUUACAGGGUAGGAAAGAGUGUAGUGAGUGGGAAAUCCCAGGGCUCUGGAAGGCAAGUAUAAAAGAAUCAGAAAAUUGCUGCUGCCAUCAGUUCUUGAGUUCGCAUCAAGAGUAAAAUCUUAAAUCAGGAGUCAACAAAAUGGCCAAGUUUCUAGUUAUCAUAUUAGCGGUGCUUCUGGUCGGUGCAUUGGCAUCUCCUGUUGCCCAACAGAACGAGGAACUAGCUGUCGAAACUACGGUGGCUUCCAAAGUGAUUAGGUCAGCAGACCCAAAUCCAGAUCGUCAUCGUGGAAAACAAUAUAACGGUGGAAAACAUGGGUAUGACCAUGGACACGAUCACUAUCAUGACCACAAACAUGAUCACCACAAACAUCAUUGAAGUGGGCAUGAAAAUCGGGAGAGGUGAUACAAAGUUUUCACAAGUGACGAGCUACAGUGGAGAUGACGACGGCUGGUAAUUCUCAGGGUCUGCACAGAAAUCAUUUAAUGAAAUAUUUACUCUUUCUUAGAAUAUUUUAAACUGUUAUAUCUGAAUCGGAAUGUUUCUCAUAUUGAUUACAUUAUUUCAAGUGGUUAUGGAGGACGAAAAGAAAAUUGAAAAUUUUGGAUUGUAUAGUAGCAUGAGGGAAGCAUCAUGAGCCGUUAUGUAUAUACAGAUGAAUGUGAAUCGGUUCGCCAUCAGUGAUUGUAAUAACCACUCAAUACUAAUAUUGGAAUAAAUUUCUCAAGUUACAGUA